rnacentral:misc_RNA from 1 species
AACCAAUAUGGAAGACAGCGUUACGACAGGUGUCAGCUGAGACGGAGUAUGAAAACAAAACUUUUUGGAAGUAUUAUGCUUUGAUGUUGACUGUUUGUUGCAUGGUUUCAACCUUUGAUUUUCAAAUGAGUUCACAAAUUCGCAGCAAGAUUAUGGAAGUGAGUUUCUGAGGUGUUCACAUCGAACUUUUGACAGGGUUGUGAUGUUUGUAGUACCAUAACAUGAUGGACACUGGUCAAGUGGUACUUCAAGACCCUCCAAAGAGGGCACCUCCUCUAGGAAGCCCCACCCACACAGCAGUGGCAAUGACCCACAUCAGUAGUAUUAACGGCAUCCCGCCACCUCCAACGCAUCCUCACAACAGCGACAUUACUACAGGCUCAACAAUGUUUCCAGUGACAGCAGUGAUUCCAGCCAAACCAAAGAGAGCAGUGACAAUAAACAACAAUACAGUAAUUGACAAAUCAUUACAUCAGCAGGUGGGCCAAUCUUCCCCUCAAACUCAGGGAAAGGAUUCUGCUCCCUGUCGUCUGGAAAAUCCAUCUGUCCCCAGCACUCUAAAAAGUCAUGGUCAGCCCAUCACAACCAAUGGCAAUGUGCAACAUGAACAUCCCAAAAGAAGCCUGGUCUCUAGUGCCAGUGACAGUGCUGUGCUCGGAAGCUCUCUCUCUAUUGGGGUACAGGUGGGCAGUUUCUACGCUGCCCUGGCCAUGAUGGACACAGAGCCUGACAAUGAGACCACCUACAUCAACAGUGACACGACCGAGCUGAGGCAGGCUAACGUGCGCGCACGGGGGGAGCUGCGACAUGCCAUGUCUGAGAUCUUGCCCAAUGAGCCUGUCAGAAGGCGGAGUCAAACCAUGGCCAACGCGAAAGAACACGCCUGCAGUCGUUUACAGGAGGAGCUACAGAAGGCCCAGGAUGAACUAAAGUUGAGGGAUGAGGAGUGUGAAAAGCUGCUGAAGGUGAGAGACCAGAUGGGUGAGGAGCUAGAAGAACUCACUGCCUGUCUGUUUGAGGAAGCAAAUAAUAUGGUUCAAGAAGCCAAUAUGAAACGGAUGCAUUCCGAGAAACUCCUCAAGGAGGCCACAGAAAAGAUUGAGGUAUUGGAGGCAGAGGUUGUGGCCCUGAAACAGCUGGUCCUAACAUCUACACCUAGCUCCCCAAACAAGCAUCUGCACCCCCAAAUAGACACCCUCAAGCCUGAGGCUGCUAACAAGAAGGAAAAAGAAAAGACUAGCAAACCAUUCUGGAAAACACAUCGGCGGUCAACGAGUCACCAUGAGUUUACUCGUGAAGCCCGACAGGAAGUACAGGCCCAACAGGAGGCCAAGAAUGACCGCUGCAGUGAUCAGAUUGACCCUGUAUUCUUUGAGGAGUUUGUGAGGUGGAGGAAGAGUCCACGCCUGUCCAAGGACACAGACUUCCUGUCCAGGAUGUACAUGGAGGACAUCAGUCCCUGUCUCAACUUCACUAAUAAACAGUUGUCCGAAAAUGUAAAAGACUGUGUAGAAAGCAAUACACUGACCAUAGAACCCAUUCCAGGUGACAGUUCCUACCCAAGGAGAUGUUGUCUUACAGAGAACAAUAGGCUGUGUAAUUACAAAAUCAAACUGGGCGAGGAUGUCACCUGGUACUCCAUAUCACAGCUCUGUAGAAAUAGGAUUGCUUCUGUGUGUGAUUUUUAUACCUACAUCAGAUACAUACACCAAGGACUUGUCAAAAGCGAGAAUAAAGAAGCAUUUUAUGAAAUUGCAAGACUACGAAAGAAGAUGGCCCUUGCAAGGCUGGGCUACUCCUGAUCCUAGUCGUGGAUUUAACAGUUGAUACUUGCCAGUCCUGUAUGAAAAGUGAAUGUUUGUGGUUAUAAAUGUCUAGUUUUUUAAAUUGAGUGGUUAUAAUUCUAAGCAGACAACAUUGUUUCUAUAGAAUGAAAUACCAGGAUUUUAAAUGUGCAUAACAAGUGUUACUGUGCCAUUUUUGAAUGAGAUGUGAUUGGAACACUUUUGGCUACUAUUGACAGUAGCUUUGUUGGGAAUAAGUGGAACUGGACAAUUUAUGUAGGCUGAUAAUGACAUGGUCACAGUUCUUGGGACCAAUGGGUCUGUCUCUAUUAACUAAUCCAUCUGUUCUGUCCACUAAACUAGUCUCCUUAUGUUAUGUUACACAUACUAAGGGAGAUAACUCUUUGUUGGUUGUUUUGUACCGUAUUUGAAUUUUAAAUUUGAUAUUUGACUAUGAAGCUAUACGACUAAACUUUACUUUGUUGUGAUAAAACAUAUAUUAAAUCCCCUUCCACUGUCACUGAUAUAGAUGAUCAGUACAGAUAUAUCUUUCAAAACCCUAAAUCAUUGAUACAGCAAAUCAUUUUUCUUAUUUUAUGUAACAGUCACAAUCUACAGAUAUUUGGGUGAUAAUCAAACUUGUUAAUUUUUGUACCAGUUUUUAUAGUUGUUUUGGAUUGAAUGUAUGCUAGACAUGUAUAAAAGUGUGUUAGAAAUAGAUUUCAGCAGAUUUAUUUAAACACUGGAAAAAAUUAAUAUUGAUUGUAAUCAGAAUGAAGUCUGACAUGCAGUGCUAUAAAUUCCUUGAUUUUAACAGUUAGCUCCCCUCCAUGUCUGUCCUAAUUUUUAUGGAGCAAGGGAGAUAACUUGUACAUAUAGAAUGUAUAUAAAUGUUCUGUAGUGGUGUGUGAGAUCUGUGUUGGAGAUAUCUGUGGUAAUUGAAGACUUACAAACACAGGAGGUGUUUCAGUGAUACGUUUUGCAGUGGAAAUGCAUAUUUUCAUGUGCACACAAUAAUUAGAAUUAAAUCUUUUUAUGUUUACAAAAUAGCAAUCAAAAUCAAGUGCAGCAAAAUUGAAAAACUAGAAAAAAUGAAUAAUAUUAAUGGAAAUCACUUAUAAUUUGAUUUAAAAGAGCAUUCAUAAUCGAACAUAGAGAUUAUAUGAAUUGAAUUUUUCAAAAUAUAUAUAAGAUUUGGUCUGGUAUCUGUCUGCUGUGUCUGUGAGAGUCCGGCUGAUAGCCUUGUGGAUACUUGUACAGCUAUAAUACUCAGACAUGAUUAGUUUUGUAGAGUCAUUGUUACAGUGUACAUAUAUAUAUAUAAGUGUUGACGUUUUAAACAUACACUAAUUAACUGAAAUUGAAAUUGUCACCUGUCCAAUUUUGCAUUGGACUUAUUUGACAUAUACCUGGGUAUAUAGGAAACUGUUACAUUAAAUUGUUUAAAAAUAUUAAUAUUUGACAGGAGAUAUAAUCCCACAUCUAAUUAUGAUUUUCCCAUUAUUGCUUUCAUAUCAGCAAAGAGAAAUUAUUUCAAUCAAAUUCACACUUCAUCUGAAGUCAGCAUGCUUAACUUAACACCUAAUCAAAUACAACGUGUAAAUUACAAGUAACAAAAGCUGUUAUUAAUAUAAUGGUAAAUUUAUAUAAAUUUGUACAUUUUGUAAUUAGAAACUUUUAUUUUAUAUAACCUACAUAUAUAUUGUGAAAUACUGUCACAGGAACGGCCCACUGAUGCAAUGAGUUAGAGGUCGCCACUGACUACAAAGUGCAAUAUUUGUCUAUUUCUAGUGUGAUCCCUAGUGUUGACCGUUCUAACCAGGUAUAAACUGUAGGAACCUCACUGAGGUGACCCACACUGUUAUAUAGUCUUAUAAAAUGUAUUACCUUACAGAUGAACUGUAGGAACCUCACUGAGGUGACCCACACAGUUAUAGUCUUAUAAAAUGUAUUACCUUACAGAUGAACUCAUUUCAUAUCUACUUCCAAGAAACUUUCCACUCUGAGAAAUUCCAUUUUCAAGGUAGCAUAUACGAAGAUGUAAACUUAACAUAUUUAACAUCUGGAAGACCUGUUAGAUCAAGUAGUAUUGAUUGUUUAUACAUAAUUAGCAGAUAUUGCUAGUGGCAUAUGACAGGCUAAUAAUACUCGGGACACAUAGACAUCACCCGUAAGGCUUUGGGUAACCAGCCUCUGAUCAAUAAUAAUUUGAAAUUGAUCGAAAAGACCAUUGUUUACACAAGUGAUAUGAAUUUGUAAUCUUCUGUUACAAUCUGGCAUUAAUAGUGUACGGGUAAGAGUACAUCGUCUUUAUUGGAAUAUUUAGAUUUUGUACAUGUUUAUUCCAUCAGAAGAAAACCUAUUUUAUGUUUAAAGUUUUCAGCAGAAUUUCAUGACAUUUUUGGGAUGUUUGUGUGAAGUGUUUAUUACACAGCAGAAGUUAAUCAGUACUUAGUGUGCCAAAGUUCUCCAUAGCUCCCAUACACACAGCUGAUCCUAUAUAUGCAAUCUGUUAAUUUGUUAUCCAUGUUGAGUUGUGCCAUUUUGGAAAGAAAAGUGAAUCAUUUCAUGAUUACAUUAUUCUAAAAAUGAAGUUGUAGGGAAUUAAAAUAUGUUUAUAUGCCAUAAUCAUAUAGAAAUCAGUUUGUAUUUUAACUUUUUAAACAAGGCUUCUAUUGAAAUAUAGCAAGGUAAGAAAUCAUUGCGGUAACUUAUAAUAAAAGGAAUGUUCUUAAUAUCGAUAUCAAUACACAUCCAUGGGUUGUGCUGUAACUUUCGAUACACAGAGGAUCCAGCCAGUAUAUUGAGUGGAGCAGCCGUUGAUGGUGGCCGAAGUUGUUGUAUUGUUUUACAUGUACAGUCAAUUGUAUUAUGGUGAUAUACCUGUGUGUUGUCCAGGUCUCGCAACCAACCUUCAUAGUGAGAAAUAGAAUUACUUUUAACACUUUUUAGUAUAAACAUGCACUUCUUAUAAUUAGUAUAAAUGUAAUUCAGCAUGGAAUUCAAAAUUUACCUGUAGGUGUUGCCCUUUACCUGUAGGUGUCACCAUUUACCUGUAGGUGUCACACUUUAAAUGUAGGUGUCACACUGUUUAUGUAGGUGUCACACUUUAACUGUAGGUGUGGCCCUUUACCUGUAGGUGUCACACUGUAUCUGUAGGUGUGGUCCUUUACCUGUAGGUGUGGUCCUUUAACUGUAGGUGUGGUCCUUUACCUGUAUUUGUGGCCCUUUACCUGUAGGUGUCACACUUUAACUGUAGGUUUGGUCCUUUACCUGUAGGUGAGGCCUUUACCUGUAGGUGUGGCCCUUUACCUGUAUGUGUCACACUUUAACUGUAGGUGUGGUCCUUUACCUGUAGGUGUGGCCCUUUACCUGUAGGUGUCGCACUUUAACUGUAGGUGUAGUCCUUUACCUGUAGGUGUGGUCCUUUACCUGUAGGUGUGAUCCUUUACCUGUAGGUGUGGCCCUUUACCUGUAGGUGUUGCCCUUUACCUGUAGGUGUCACCUUUACCUGUAGUUGUGGCCUAUGUAGGGUUUGGACUCAUCAACCCUUUGAAAAUAAUGUUUAGGACUGGUCUGAAAAAAUCUUACAAUUCACUACAUAUGAUGCAGACAACAUUAUAUUGUUAGAUAUUCAGAAGAACCGUCAGGGAGGUGAUUUGUUAGUAUAACUUACAAUACUGUAAAGUGUGAGAGUUGAGGUGAGCCAAUUUAGAAGCUUCAGAUCGGGAGUGUUGCUCUCGGAUUAUACUAUUGUAUUGGUGUUUAGAGAGGGGUAUUGUUGUUGGACAUCAAUAACAUUAAAUGGUUGAUUCUCCCCAUUAUAGGUUGUUAAAAGUUAUAAGUGAUAUUGAUUGUUUACUGUUUCAUCAAGUUAAUUCCUCCCAUGACCGGCUACCUUCUGCUCCACCCUAAGGAAUCCUCCACAUCUCUGGUAAGACCCCUGUCCUCAGACUUCCCAGUAUGUAGGGACAUUUAGUCACCUUAAAUAUUUAUUUCCCAUCUUAACAAUGUGAGUUACAUUAAAUGUGCACUUCUUAUUUGUAGUUACAAUAGAGUAAUGUUUUAUUGUGUAAAAAGUUUCAUUAUUUUUGUCAUUUGUUUAUGCCAUACUUGUACGUUUUCA